CACUGAGGCAGCACAUGGAAGUGAACAAUUUGAAAUUCCAGAAAUUCAAAAUAUUGAAAUCAUCAUUACCGAUGAUGAAAAUGCAAUUAGUGCAAAUGUGGUUGAUGCUGCCAAUGGAGAAGAUUCUCAACCACAUGAACAAGGAAAAAGGGAAGAGAAUACAUUUGAUAAAAUGUGUGUUUUGCUAGAGAAUAUAAACACCAAUCUCACCGUUUUAAAAGACUCUAUG